rnacentral:lncRNA from 1 species
GUGAAUAUUGUAAAUAUAUAUUUAUUUCAAAUAUUCUGCCAUAAAUGCAAUCAUCUUCAGAGAUUGAGAAAGAAGUUGAAAAAGGUGGUAGUGGCGGGCAUAUGUAUUGGAUCCACGCCCCGCAUCCUGGUAACAUAGUAAUUCAUCCAAAAAUGUUGGCCCUUUUAAUUGAAACUGCUUACAAUGCUAUUCAUAUUUAAAAGUGUUUGAAUGAGGACACUUUUUGGACUGGACAUCUUAUCAUAGAGUUCUACCAAUCUCAGAACAAAACUAAACCAUUACUGAACCCAAAAUAAAACUGACCUAAAUCACUUGUAAGGAGGAUCAAGUUUCGUUGUCGUGUCAAGAAGAGCAAUAAAGCAUCUGGCAACGCUCCUCAUUAUUUCUGCAUUGCUAAAUGAUAUGGCUGGCACUUGCAUGGUGUUGCAAGUAUGAAGAGACCCACUGCAUUCACCAACCAUCCCAAGGUUCAAAGACGUGGUUCUGUAAGGUGUUCAAGCCAAAAGCAUGUUGGGCACAGAUGAAGAGUCUGCUGCCAGAACUGACAGGUUUUCCAGCGUCACUCUGAAGAUUAUUGUUCAGCAACUCCUUGCCUGUCCAUGCUCCGUAAUCUAUAUUUUAACUGAAUUCGAAUUCUUCAAAUUCCUUUUACUCCACAUACUCUGCUCACAUACAACAUAUUAAACAUAUUGUCUUUACUUGGGUCCUUGCAAGUGGUGGGUACACAUGCCCUUGCUUUAAUCCAUGUUGUUAGCCUUAACUAUUUUACCUCAGGGUCCUCUGCCCUUGUUUUGUAAUAAAAGGUUCGUAAUGUAAAAUCCCGUUUUAAAUAAUUACUUUAAUUAGA